rnacentral:misc_RNA from 1 species
AGCAGCCGCGGUAAUUCCAGCUCCAGUAGCGUAUAUUAAAGUUGUUGCAGUUAAAAAGCUCGUAGUUGAAUUUCGGGAUUGGCGCAUCGGUCGUGCCUCACGGGGUAUGAACUGGUGCAGUCAAUUUCUCACCUUCUGGAGAACCGCGAUGUCCUUAAUUGGAUGCCGCGGGGAACCAGGACCUUUACUUUGAAAAAUUAGAGUGUUUAAAGCAGGCAUUUUUGCUUGAAUACAUUAGCAUGGAAUAAUAAAAUAGGACGGCAUGGUUCUAUUUUGUUGGUUUCUAGGACCACCGUAAUGAUUAAUAGGGAUAGUUGGGGGCAUUAGUAUUCAAUUGUCAGAGGUGAAAUUCUUGGAUUUAUUGAAGACUAACUACUGCGAAAGCAUUUGCCAAGGAUGUUUUCAUUAAUCAAGAACGAAAGUUAGGGGAUCGAAGACGAUCAGAUACCGUCGUAGUCUUAACCAUAAACUAUGCCGACUAGGAAUCAGACGAUGUUAAUUUUUAAUGACUCGUUUUGGC